UACAGAGGUCCCAAGCGUUGUUCGGAUUCACUGGGCGUAAAGGGUGCGAUAGGCGGUCGGGUAAGUCUGAUGUGAAAUCUCACAAGCUUAACUGUGAAACUGCAUUGGAUACUAUCCGGCUCGAGGAAUGGAGGGGAGACUGGAAUGACUUGGUGUAGCAGUGAAAUGCGUAGAUAUCAAGUGGAACACCAGUGGCGAAGGCGAGUCUCUGGACAUUUCCGUGACGCUGAGGCACGAAAGCCAGGGGAGCAAACGGGA
rnacentral:rRNA from 1 species